rnacentral:piRNA from 1 species
UAUGCUGUAUACUGAAUACUC